AUGAGGAGGGAGAGGGAUGAGGAGGCCGGUUGUGAUGGACCCUUUGGUCAUAUCAGACGUUAUUUUUACUUGGCAUGAGCUAGACAGGCACUGGGGUUGAUGUGUAUCUUUACAAGGUCAUCUCGCCUGCAAGUCUUGAAAGGAAAUUGAAGGAGGGGAAGCCUGACACCAGGGGCUGUGAUGGGGGUAUCCUGCCAAGGACUGAAGAGCUGUGAACUGGAACUGACCAUGGAGGAGUCACGGCAGACAGACUGCUAGCCAUCCUCAGGUAUUUUUUUUAUUCAUCUCAAACCUUCUCUGCUUUAGUCUGAGGGAAUCUAACUCUUCUGCAUUUUCCGAUCAGUUGCGUUGAUGGUCCACACUGUGCAGUUAAGGGAUGAAGUAGCAGUAACCCAUGACUAAAUCAGUGAGCAAGUCUAGCCUCUGUGGAGGAGAUUCAAGGGUAUGCCUGUUGCUCACUCCAGACAAUGAUGUCCCAACUUGACUAGAUCCUUUGCCUUGGAAGCUCUCUCCUGAUGGAUUGAAAUCUAUGGCUGCCAGCAUAGGUUCCUGGGGACUUGAGUAGGAAACAUAACAGCUUGCUGUUUGCAUAUAAACCUUUCUUUUCUUUUGUAAAUCAAUUUAAAAAUAACUUCCUUUCAUUUUCAACCCAAGAGCAAGCUUUAAAAGCUCCUUUCUUAGGCUCAGAUGGGUGCUCAUUGCCAGAUGGUAUUUUGUCAGACAGAAAUAAAAACAACCAAAGACAAGAAGUACUUCAAGAAAUACUUCAUUGCGGGGAUGGGAAUGGACAUGGUCUGCUAUAUUGACCAAUGUUCAAAGGGACAAAAGCAAGCAAAAGAAUCCAGAAGGGUCACAUGGAACAACCAGAAUUCACAAAAAUGGAAACCACUCUCCAAAUCAUGGAUGGUUCUGCCAGACAGGCAUAGAUUCCCCCAAAGUGGACUUUCUGUCUCUUCUAACUUUUGAAAACACACUUAAGCCAUUUGGAUUGUGGACUUAGAAGCAACUAUCAUGAGGCGAGUCUUCCUUGAUUAUAUCUUAUAGUUUAAGCUAUAACCAUGUGUUACUUAAUUCUCCAUUCAAAUAAAUCCCAGCAUCUCAGCAGCCUAUAUCAGCUUAUCUAUCCUAUACUUAUCUAUCCUAUAUUUUAACCUUAUCAACAGCUAUUUUUAAAUUGCAAAAUGAAAUUUAAAUACAAAUCAUUAUACUCACUUCCCAUGUGCUAUGAAUAAAAAAUUUGCAACAAAUUAUGAGGACUUAUUUUAUCUAAGAAUAAUUUGUGCACAGGAAAUGAAAAAGAGGUUAAUUGGUUCCAUUUUUGCAUUUGCAUAAUUUGGGCUUGGGUUGACCAGUUGGCAGCUUGUGGUUGGCCAAAGCUGAGUGGCUGUGAUUGGCUGUUAAAACAUGAACUCCUAAAUUUGGGUUCUGUUUAGUCUGUAGUUCAUUUUACUGGGACUCACAGUUCUCAGAGAGUCUCCGGAUGUUUAAUUUAACACAUGUUGCAGGAUUUCGUGGUAAUAUUAAUCGCAAACCAUUUAUUAAGAAUCUUCUAAAUAUCAGAUGUUGCACACAUGCUUCCUGAAUCUUACAACACUUCUUUGACAUUUACAUCACCUGCUUUUACUCAGGAAUUAGAAUUAUAAAACCCAGAGAGGCAAGUGAAUGGCUGAAUGUCAAAAGCUGGAAGUAAGAGAUUUGAAGAUUCCUUUCCCUCAGGAACUGUGUUAAACACCAUAUGUCACUUCAUUGACUCUUUAUAGAAGCCUUUCAAUGAUAGGGGUAGAUGAUUUUUUUUUAAAUGAUCCCUGACUUUCCACUUGGGGACACUUCUAACGUUGCAAUGGUUGCAUCCUGACUUCUCAUUCCUUAAUGUUUAACAUAAGGAUAAUGGAUUAGUACGAGGAAGAAACCAAUGGAUAGGUGAUGAGUAGAGUACUAGGCAUUGGUUAACAAGACCAUCGUCAUACUAGUGAGGAUCAACCUGACGUGGUCCUGUCAGGAGGGGGCCAAGUUUCCAGGGCGGAAUUGAAACUCAGAUGAUUGUUGUGCUUUGAGAACAAACAUAACCGUCAUCUUUAUUAUAUUACUUUAAUUAUCAUAGCUAAAGCAAGGAAAACUUUACUCUCUGUCAUUUGAAGAUGAGGAAACAGAAGUCGUAUUGCUAAAAUAAUUUUGCUAAAGUUUGGAGUAAUUAGUGAUGAACAGAAUCAGGAACCAAAUGCAAGUUCUAUACAUUUCAUCCACUGGUCUUCAAAUAAUCUACUUUUCUGUGUCUACUCUAGACUCCUGAGCAGACGGUGUUCACCAGAGACAAGAGGUAUCUUCAAGGGAACUUUCUAGGGGCCAGGCUUCCAAGCAAGAACAUGCUACAGAAGCAGAGGCAACUAAGGGAUUGAAAGGAAGACAGCCCUCUCUGUCUACUGUGAGGAGGGUUGGGGGCUAAGAAGAUGCUUAGCUAGGCAGCUCAAGAAAGCACUUUCCUCAGCAGGCAAAGGUUAGCGCUGUGGGAAGGCUUUCAAUCAGAAAAGCAAGAAAUGUUUGAGAACACAGUCUAUCAAAUGACAGGAAACCCUACCUUCUCUGAAUACCUGGAUCUUAGAAGUUUCAUUUGUAGGCCUGGGACCUACAAACUUUUGUCCGCCCUCAUCCAACUUGACUAGAAGUUUAAACGCCUUAGCAAUGCAGCCUAGGUUGAAGGAAGGUCUCUACAUGAGAAGCAGAAUUACUUUGUCCUGUUAGUUGGUGAUAAAAAUGCAAUUCUUUUGCUCCAUUUGUAGGACCAACCUUCUUUAGGUCCCCUGGGUUAGCACCAAAGCCACCUCAGUAGGCUUCUCUUGGGGAAGAGCUGGGGUCAGCAUCCUCAAAGGAAGGUAUUGCUUGCACGAGAUAAAAGAGAUAUUUAGAAGCCUCAGAAAGACACAGGCAGCCUUCAUUUCCUCUCACAACAGGAGGCUUGGAGCCUCCACAGACAAGGCUGUGACCACACAAAACAACGGACCCUCUGUGCAGGUUUUAAAAAUAAACCGAUUUGUAGAUACAAAUAACAAGCAGGGAAAGAGGAUGCAAAACAGCCAAGUUUAAAGAGAAAACAAACAAUACUUGAAUUCCUUCCCUGGUUUCCAACCCGUUUGCUUUCUUAGCGCCAUUGUCUGGAGAACUCAUUCAUUGCCAUUCUGCACGCUGAUCAGACCAACCUACCCCUGCUCAGAUCUUCCUCAGGAUCUUUCUUAAUGGUACCCUAAUAGAUAGUACGGCUGGAUUGUGGAUGGCUGUGAUCUGGGGUGCUUGCAAGCACGGCUGAAAAACAGGGAAUCUCUAAAGCUAAAUGUGGGGUAUGUGUGUUCGGCCAUCUUGCCUACAUGAUUGACAACAGACCUGAGUUAGUCAGAGGCUGGAAAUGUGAGGUCAGCCAUGCUGCCUGCCUGCUCAGAGAGCUGUCAACUGAUUAGGGACAGAGAAUCUAUCACUUGUUUGGGGUGGCAUUCUUGUAGUUUAUCUUACCAGUGGGAGGUUUUUCCUUGCUGUCCGCAUACUUGAUCGAUUUCCCAAUGAUCGUAAAGAGGUGGGGAUUAACAAACACUGUAAGCUAAGUCUGUGCAGGUCAGUCUACCCUCAACCAAACGCAGGAGGAAUAUUAGACGAUCUAAAUCUCAUGAAGAACAAUGAAAGUACUAAAAUCAGCUAUUCAGCACAAAUUCUGCCAGCUAAUCAGACUGUAUUGCAAAAAAUAGCCAGAUUUUCUAAAUAUCUUUAAAUAAAAGUCAGUAGUCCUAGAAACGUGCAGGGAAGAAACCAAGGAAAGCCUUAAGAUGAAUUUAGGUUCCCAUUGAAGACCAUGAGAAGUACAACCAAGAUGCCGAAAUGAUAUAUUUCGAUACAAGGUAACAGUGCUUCAAACAAAAAUAUAUCAAAUUACUGAAUUACAACCUCAGUCUGCGGGCCCAAAGCAUUUGUAACUUUUCUCCACGUGUUGACACAAGGCCAGGUGGGAGCAAACUGAGAGAGGUCUGCCUGGCUCCUGGUUUCACCGUUGCAGCUUCAUGGAAAGAAAGGUUUGCCGACCUGCGACCUGCCUGUAACUCAAGACACUAAGUUCUGAUAGACUGGCAGGUUAAAAGAAAAGAGGGUAGGAAGCAGAAUUGGGGUGUAACCCAAAAGGCAAGCUUGGAGGACCUAGGACUUGUCCCUUGAAGGUUUCACAGCCUCUCAGAGCAGUGCUGCCAGACACACUCAGGUGCUCAAACACACCAGGCUUGGGACACAGUCACAAUCAAACCAUGCCAUAUAGCACCUGGUCUGGAAUAUCUUAGCAGUAUUUUGUAUUGGUUUUGUGGCACAUAAUAUGUCUGACAUAGUAUUGCAAAUGGAAAAAGUAUUUCUUUUUUCAGGCAUUUGGAAACUACCUCAUGUCAAUCUUGAAAGAGUUGAAACUACCAGUUCUCUACUGGCCUGCACAGGUAUCUGUCAGGAGACAUCCGGACAUAAGAAGGCUGAAAACACCCUCAGACCUCUCUCCUGGACAUGCUCUUGAAGUGACUUAAUGAUGCUCCCACAGUGAUUUAAUGAUGCUUGGGUCCACAGCACUAUCUUUCUUAUCUCUCUUUGGCUCACCUCCAGUCAUCACUCCCUGAAGCUCAGAAUUGCCCUGUCCUCUUCACCCUGUAAAUAACCCUCAACCCUGCCCUCCCAGGAAUGGGUUAAAGUUCUGAUUCUCCUCUCAUUAUUGCUGCUUUGUGCAUAAACUCUUGUCAUAAAGGUCAUUUCAGAGACUGGCAUUCUGUCAGGUAAGAAAAGCAAAUAUAGUUAGAGAAAAAAACGUCAGAGUCACGGAGCUGGGGAGAGAGGGUGUGAGGGGGAUAUAAAAUAGGAUUUUAAGGUCCACAGAUAAAAUGUUUAUUUUGCUUUAGGAUGCAUGCAGACUUGUGAAUGUGACAUUUUCUAAGCAGGUAGUAGAAUUGCAUUUCUAAGCAAUUUAUGUAUUUGUAGCUUUGUUGACCAGAAUGCCCUUCCCGUGGAAGAGCUUUUCCUUCCAAAUCUGAGUGAAGAGACUUGAAUUCCUCCAUACAUUUUGCUCUUGUACAGUUACUGCUACCUGUAAUCAUACAUCGUUUUCUCACAGCCAACUUGAUGAGGUCUCUGGAUUUGCCUUCAAUUUUUGUGUUAUCAUCAUUGUAAUUAUUGCGUGUGCACGCAUGUAGUUGCAUGUGCUUUGCGUGCCCGUGGAUGUGAGAUGACCGUGGAGUUCCUUCCUUCUUCCCACAUUACUGCAGGUUCCAGGGGUCCAGUUCAGGUCCCCAAGCUUGCAAAGAGAGUACCUUUACCACCUAAGACCAUUUAGCUUUUAAUUUUUACAUCUAUUUUUCGUGCCUUUCCACAGGCCCAUGCUACAUACAGAGUAUAUUCAGCCCCAUACCCUCAACACCCCAUUUUCUUCCCCCCCACAUCCAUGUUAACUUUUCCCCCAGACAGUUUGACUUUUACUUUCAUGUCAUAUAUGUAUCUGGACGAAAUCAUGAGUAAGAGAGAGCAUGUGACAGCUGUCAUUCUAACAGUCAUCGAGUUUAACUCAAGGAUCAUUGCAUCUUAAAGCGAAACGUUUCCCUAACGUGUGUGUGUGUGUGUGUGUGUGUGUGUGUGUGUGUGUGUCCAAGGACUGUUAUAGGAUGAUUAAAAGAAUUGAGGAUUUUGUUGUAAGUUUUCAUUGCAGCAUUUUAAGUAUAUCCAACAGAAACUUGAAUUUGACUGCAUCUACCCUCACCAAACCAAACCAAACCAACCAACCAAGCAAACAAACCAAUCAAGUAUUGGAGACAGUCUGGUGGCCCAGGCUUAUAACCUUGGCUGAUUGGAUGAGAACUGGGAAUGGAAAAAUCAAAGUUUUCCUGAGACACAGAGUGAGCCCUACCCCCAAAGUAGAAAAUGAAAAUAAUUCGAAACUAUUAAUGUCUUAGUUCAAGCUUCUACAGAACCUGAAAAGGUAGAAAUGAUCAUCUCUUUUAAGGUUGGAAAAAUAAAACUAAUUUUAAGCAAAUAUAGAUUUCUUGCAUUUAAAAGAUUCAAAAUAGAAAUGCUUGAUACAUUCGUCAAAUGUGUAAAAUUUUCACAUAAAGUCACCACAGUUAAAACACAUAGUGUAGUUGAGACUACCUGGUAGAUGACCUAGAAAUGCCUUCUUCACAUUCUCCCCUCAUGGUUUGCUUCCCCCCAAGGCACCCAGGUUCCAUGCACUGUUGAUGGCCUACGCAAGUAUAAGAAGCUUGUUUGAGAUUUCCCCUUUUGUGCUGUCCUCUUAGUGAGAAGAUCCCUCAGUAGCCACUCUCUUACCAGAUAUUAAUGGUUACUUGAGUGUGUGAUAGUUAGCUAACGGUUAAGAGCUAAAGCUUCUGUAGUACACCAUUUCAUGUUGUGUAGCAGUUUUAUCAGAGCCUAGAGCAUUCUACCCCUCAACGACACCUUUUAAGACAGAAUAUGAACAACUCAAUAGCUUCAGGAAGUUCCUGAAACCAACCAGAUUCACUAGGUCCCCUCUUCCCCAGAGUAUACAAGACUGCUGAGAGUCAUUCUCAGAAAAGUCCAGCCGCAAAGGAGAUAAGAGUCAAGCAGCCUAGAAAGAAUACUGUCAACCCACCGAGCUGCCUGGAGCUCCAGCUUUUGUAAGGAGUUGCCUAUCUGGGGUGGACUUUGGUGAAGCAGCUGCUUUUGAGUCAUUUUUGCUCCUGUAAGUUACCCCUCACUCACAAUCUUGUAGCCCUGAUAAAAUUCACUGGUUCACCUGGAUGAGCUUUGGUGGAAUCUGUACUUUACUCUGUUAUUGACUUUGUGGUGGUUUGAAUCAAAAUAACUCCUAUAGACGCAUAAGGAGUGGCAGUAUUGGGAGGCAUGACCUUAUUGGGAGUGGUGUGGGCUUGUUGGAGAUGCUCCUAGGGACAAGCUCAGCUAUCUCUCUAGCACCAUGUCUGUUUGUGUAUCCCCAUGCUUCCUGCCAUGAUGAAAAUGGACUAAACCUCUGAACUGUAAGCCAGUCCCAACCAAAUGCUUUUUUUAAAGUGUUGCUAUGGUCAUGGUGUCUCUUCAUGGCAAUAAUACCCUAAGACAGACUCUCUGGCCUUGUGUGCUACAUCUUUCCAGGAAGAGUCUUGUUAUACAAUUUAAUUGACAUCCAAACUGGAGCCUGACAGAACCAAGGACGACUCAGGUGUGUGCGUGAAUGUACCCUGGCUAAGGGUAGCAAGGCAUGCAAAUGAGUUUGAGCAUCACAAGGAGGGGAGCAACUGCAGAAGUAAUUUCCUUACAUCCAUCCUUUAAUGUAGACUAUGUGUUAAUGCACUUUUCUGAUAUGGCAGGCAGUGUAGACCUUGGUGGGUAGUGAGACAUGCAACUAAGGCUGAGUCAUGAGGAUUAGAAAUGUCUGUGGGAAGAAUCUCAGGGAGGAAGUCUGUCUGUGAGGCACACUUGCUAGAUGAAUACAGAGAUGUUCUGACAGUUCAAGGUUUACGUUAAAGGCUUAGAGGGACUUUUAAAGUGUUUGAGGUUAGCUCACAAGGGUAGAGAUUGUAGGCAGUUAGCGGCAGCGUUGCCUGGCUACUGUUGUGCGCUUAGAAAUGCAUCUGAGGGUGGAUGAGACGGUAGCCGGGCAGGUACUGGUUUGUAGAAAGGAGCAGUUGCUACAAGAAAGGGACAUACCACAUAACUCACCAUGUUAGAGUCCGGUUUGGCAUGUGAAUCAGAUUAACAAGAGGAUGAGGUGGACAUACUGACUCAUUGUUGGCUCUCGAGACUUGGGGUCAGAAGGAAAAAGUGGGUGCACAUUAAAUCUAUGCUCAAAAGCCCAUCUUGGGAUCUGAGAACUGGGACUCCAUGGGAAGACUCAGAGAGUGAAGAGAAGGAGAACAUGGUAAAAAUGAUAAAAGUCACUUGCAGGUCUCAUAGCAGAACAGGAUGAAAAAAACCUGUUAUGCGGGUGGGAGCCUUAAUAAUGGCCUUGUGCAGGAAUGAUUCGAUAUGAGUGAACAGGAAAUACUCAGAGCUUGACCUGCCGGAGUUAAAAGAUUUUUAAACAAGCAAUGAAAGGAGCCUGUCGCAGACAGCAUGGCUUGUGAAGUCAGGGCUGUGGAAGUGGAUGGGGUCAGCCUGACUGCUGUGGAGGCAGAAACACUGAGUAUUGUAAAGUCUUGUUCCUUCUUAAGGCGAAGGCUGCAUGACCUGAGACAGCAGGAGGGAAAUUAGUCCCUGAUGGAACGGCUAAUAGAUGUCCUUAGGAACACUUAGUUAUCUGCAUUUGCUGUCCCUAUAAAUAUCAGGAGCAGGAGAACCACAGAGGAAUGGAAGGUGCUAUUGAGGGAGCCAGGAAUAAGAGGAGCUGUGUCUGAAUCCCAGUUCACUGGUCUAGAUAGCUACAUCUUCACAAAGAAGGCAAGAGGGGUUAAUUCAGCAUGAACCUCAAGUCUAGGGUAAAACCUCAAGUCUAGUGGCAUGCCAGGUAGGGUGUGUGCUCGGCAAUAGUAGGUCAGCUAUCAGCCACAGCCUUCUAACUGUAUUUAAGGCUCCCCCCACAAGAGGAAAUUCCAUGUCUGAUACUGUAAGCCAGGAUGAAAUCCUGUGGCUGAGGAGGUCAGAGAUCCCGGUGGGAAAGCAACUUCUAUCCUUUUUCUGGGUAGAUUUGAUGUACUUGUCAAAUGGCCCUUUAAACACUUGCACUUACACACAAAUUGCUCUUGCUGUCAGCCUCAACUCAAAACCCAUGGUGAUGCUCUGGAGUGACUACAGCACAGUGGCUUAACUCUUAGCUAUUGGUGGACAUCUACAGUCACCCCUUCCAUGGCUCAGGGGUCAUUGUAGAAAACCAGAUGGGAAAAAAUUUCAGAACUAAGGAAGGGAUGGAGUGUCCUGUAGUAGAUUCCUCUGAGAUUGGAACAUUCCAUCCUGCAGGUAAGCUUCUUAAAGCAUAAAGGAAACAACGCAAAAAUAGCUUCAGGAAGUCCCUAAAACCGACCAGAUUUACCAGGUUCCACUCUCUUCAAAGAGUAAACAAUAAAGACUGGGCAAAUCAAGCUCAGAGUAGCCAAAUCGCAAAGACCAAGCAAGGUGAGACAGAUUGCUUGUAAAGAGCAGAAAACAGCCAAGCAUCCUGGAAAGAACACUCCAGGUGUUUUGAAAAAAAAAAUGGCCUCCAUAGACUCAGAUAUUCGAAUGUGUGUUUCCCAGUUUGGUGGACUAUUUACAAAGGAUUAAGAGUUGUGGCCUUGUUGGAGGAUUAGAGAAGCUAUGUUAUCAGGACUCGAUUUUGAUGUUUCAAAAGCCCACACCAGGCCCAGUCUCUCUCUUUCUGUCUCUGUCUCUUGCCCCACCUCCCCCAACUUCCCAGCAUCAUGCCUGUCUGAUCAUGAACAAAUCCUCUAAAACUGUCAGCAGGCCUCAAUGAAAUGCUCUCUUUCGUAAGAGUUACCUUGGUCAUGGUAUCUCUUCACAGCAGGGGAACAAACAGUAACUGAGACAUCACUUCCAGUCAGUUGAGCUACCUGAAGGUUGUACAAUGUACUUUAGGAUCCCAGCUUUCCUGAGCUGUCACCCAUAUUAGAGCACACUCUGGUAAUACAGCUGUCUUUGAGCCGUGUGGUGAUUUGGAUAGGAAGGGGUCCCCUAGACUCAUGCCUUUGAAUGUUUGGCCCAUAGAGAGACACUAUUAGGAGGUGUGGCCUUGUUGGAGGAAACGUGUCACUGGGUGGGCGCCCUUUCAGGUCACCUACUCUCAAGCUAACUCACUGUUACACACAGUCUUCUUACGGCCAGCAGACCAGAAACUCUCAGCUCCAUUUCCAGCAAUAAAACCAUAACUAAGACAAGCCACUUCUGUUCCCAUAAGUAACUUCAAUAAAACUCCACUGGUCCCCCAAGUUGGAGUUUGUUGGUGUCCAUACUUUGGACUGCCAUGGACUCCCUAUUUGUGCUGAGUAGAUGUAUGUGGAUGUGCUGUGUCUCCCCAGGAAAAGUCUUGUCACACAACGCGUGACUACUGUGUCCAAACCAAUGUUCCUGUCCAUGCACAGCCUUCUCAGGGCACCAUGCCACUUACAAAGUCCUGCCUUUAGCACGGUGCCAAUGGGAGUUAAUUUUUCAUUACUUUUAUUUCCCUCUCUUCCUCAUCUGAAUUUCAUCCCAGAGAGAGAGAGAGAGAGAGAGGGAGAGAGAGAGAGAGAGACCGUCAGAUUCUUCCUGUUCAACGUCUAAAGUCAUAAUACCAUGUUCCCAUGUCAUACGUGGAUAAAAUAUAUCUCAGAUGAAUAUUCAGGGAGGAUAUUACAACAUUCUUUCAUAUGGCAAAAUCCAAAUGGUGCCUAGGAGUGUGCUUGGUAAAGUACGGAUGUAGUUUGAAGGGGACAUUUAAUGACUUUCUCUAAGUCAAUGGAGUCAGAAGCCUCAGCGUUCUUGGGCUCCACCUUUCUUCAUGUCUACUUCUCUCCUUCCAGGGACCUUGCCCACAGGAAGCCCGCCUCGUCAACAGGAAAUAGCUAUAGGAGUUCGACGGGUUCAUAACUGACAAUGUGAACCUAGGAAAGUGGUCCAGAACCACGGACGCUGCUCCUUCACCAGAACACAGGAAAUGUUUUAAGAGAUCUUUGCUGGUUGUUGUGAAAACUGAACGUAGCGAUGACUGUGUCCAGUGAAUGUGCUCACCUGGAUAUUGGCUCACAAUGACGGAAGCUUUUAUUACUAUUACCUCCUGAAGUGAUCUGGUGUUGGUCAUAUCCCGGGCCAGUUUUCUUUUGAAUAGUGUUUUCAUAAGACCUAUUUUCAAGGAAGAGCCUUGUUGGCCCCCAGCGAGCUUCCUACGACAUGAUAUGUGUGGUAUCGUUAAAGGUCUAUUUCCUUUCCUUCAGGGUAAGCAGGUUAACCAUGAUACCAUUCCUGUUGCUUCCUGAUGAGGCAGUUAGAUGUGUCCACGGGGCCGCAGGCAGCAAUCUGUCAAUGAUCCCUGAGUAAUAAGGGCAGUUACGUCAGCAGUGCCCUGGCAGCAGCUCACAGCCGUGGGUGUAGGGUCAAGUAGCUGGCCAGGAAGACGGCCGCUGGCAGACCCGAAAAGUAGAGAAGAAAUGACCUCCCCACAGUGGCAGCCUUAGUAUUCCCAGGAGGAGUCCUUUCUCAUAAGUUUGGGCUGAGAAUUUUAACUGCUCCUCAACCUCUACUGGCUUAGAGUUAUCACUCCCCGUAUUAAUGUAACGGCAGUGUUGUUUGCCCUAGGACUGACUUCAUAAAAUCGCGACAUUUUAAGUUUCUUUUGUGUUCUUUCAGGAGAGAAUUCGAACUGCACGGUUUAACUUGACAAAUAAACUUCUAGAAGCAGGAAAGGGUAUCUCCGAGGCCAACAGACUCGCCAAAAACAGGAGCUUAAGGGAUGUGACAAGUCAUUACAGCACACGCAACUCUUGAAGGUGACGAAGGUGACGGCUUUGUCUGAAGGAGUUCAUGCGAGGGCUUGAGGUCUCAAGCUGACGGGUUGUUACUCACUAAGCCAGAGCCAAGGUGGCCAUGCAAAGAUGAACCGGAGAGUGCAAGAGCGUUCACCCAACCUGGCUGAGCCGCACUUCCUUCUCACAUGACCACAGUGACCACAUCAUUACGGCCGCCCACACUUCAAGUGCUUCCUUGUUCCGGGUGGAUGAUGGAUAAAGUGCCUGUGCUUUUGGAAGCCCUUCGGACGUCUCUGUUCACAAGUCCAUGUGUUUUGAGAGAGAGAGAGAGAUAAGAACUUGCGAGAAGAGCCUGGAGUGGGGAACUGACACGCACGCUAAGUGUGGGUGGGGCUGGAGGAGAAAAUGC
rnacentral:sRNA from 1 species